ACAGUUUUCGAGGUCCUCUACGAGUUUCGAGAAGGAAUGAUUCCCAAAUUCACACUCCAAACCCUUAGAUUUUGGCUCCGAAAACAGAUGCGGUAGCAGAUUUUAUUUCCUUUCCGGCGAGCAGGCUGAAUUUCACACCAAAUUUCGGCGACCACCGCCGAAUAAAACUGCCUUGCACCACCAUUAAUGGGAAGCUAACUUCUCGAGGUAACAGUACCUUCUAUCAUCAAUACUCCACUGUUAACACCUCCGUUCAUUUAAUUCUUUGAAGAGCCAAAAGCUGAACCCCAGAUUAUGGCCACCAUCGGCGACCUCUGCCGGAAAUUACCAACACCGGUGUACAUCUGAACUCACAAUUAUUCCAAAGAUGGAUCGACGAGAUUCAUUCUCGAAGGUCUCCAAACUAUUAUUUUUCCUUCAAACCCAAAUCUGAAAUUAUCUUUUCAAAUCCCCAAUUCUUUUCCUGUAAUCAAAUCUUCCGAAUCUCCUUUAUUGAAUUCGAAAUUUCUGGAAUAGGGGUAGGAAGUAGGGCUUGGGGAAAUUGGGUGAAAUAGGCGAAUAAUUUUUGGGGAAAACAAAAGAGGUAAGAUAAGAGGGAUUUUGGUGCAAACAUAAUGAAGAAAUUAAGAGAUAAUUUUUUCUUGAUUUUCUGUAAUAUUAUGCGAGAAUUGAUAGAGAGAGAAAGAGAGCGGAGAGAGUGAACACUGAACAGAAUGUCUCGUGAUGAAGAAACGAAAGAAA
rnacentral:lncRNA from 1 species